CCUACGGGUGGCUGCAGUGGGGGCUAUUGCACAAUGGGGGAAACCCUGAUGUAGCGACGCCGCGUGUGGGAAGACGGUCCUCUGGAUUGUAAACCACUGUCCCCAGGGACGAAGAUGACGGUACCUGGGGAGGAAGCUCCGGCUAACUACGUGCCAGCAGCCGCGGGAAGACGGAGGGAGCGAGCGUUGUCCGGAAUUACUGGGUGUAAAGGGAGCGUAGGCGGGGAUGAGAGUUGGGGGUCAAAACUACCGGCUCAACUGGUAGUCGCACUCAAAACUGCAGCUUUUGAGUGAAGUAGAGGCAGGCGGAAUUCCUAGUGUAGCGGUGAAAUGCGUAGAUAUUAGGAGGAACACCAGUGGCGAAGGCGGCCUGCUGGGCUUUUACUGACGCUGAGGCUCGAAAGUGUGGGGAGCAAACAGGAUUAGAUACCCUGGUAGUC
rnacentral:rRNA from 1 species